AUAUAGUGAUUGUUUGAAUUAUGGCUGUCCCAUAAAUUAGAAAUAGAGAAAGAGAAAAGACUAAUUCAGCAACUCAAGGAUGAGGAAGGGAUAGUGUAUUAUCAGAUGGAGGAGAAAAAGAGAAUUGCGCAAAGGUAUUUUGGUGAGCUUUAUAAUCA